GAUGAACGCUGGCGGCGUGCCUAAUACAUGCAAGUCGAGCGAACAGACGAGGAGCUCGCUCCUCUGACGUUAGCGGCGGACGGGUGAGUAACACGUGGAUAACCUACCUAUAAGACUGGGAUAACUUCGGGAAACCGGAGCUAAUACCGGAUAAUAUAUUGAACCGCAUGGUUCAAUAGUGAAAGACGGUUUUGCUGUCACUUAUAGAUGGAUCCGCGCCGCAUUAGCUAGUUGGUAAGGUAACGGCUUACCAAGGCGACGAUGCGUAGCCGACCUGAGAGGGUGAUCGGCCACACUGGAACUGAGACACGGUCCAGACUCCUACGGGAGGCAGCAGUAGGGAAUCUUCCGCAAUGGGCGAAAGCCUGACGGAGCAACGCCGCGUGAGUGAUGAAGGUCUUCGGAUCGUAAAACUCUGUUAUUAGGGAAGAACAAAUGUGUAAGUAACUAUACACGUCUUGACGGUACCUAAUCAGAAAGCCACGGCUAACUACGUG
rnacentral:rRNA from 1 species